CCAAGUUUUUAAGGGCGCACGGUGGAUGCCUUGGCACCAGGAACCGAUGAAGGACGUGGGAGGCCGCGAUAGGCCCCGGGGAGCUGUCAACCGAGCUUUGAUCCGGGGGUGUCCGAAUGGGGAAACCCGGCAGUCGUCAUGGGCUGUCACCCGCUGCUGAACACAUAGGCAGUGUGGAGGGAACGCGGGGAAGUGAAACAUCUCAGUACCCGCAGGAAGAGAAAACAACCGUGAUUCCGGGAGUAGUGGCGAGCGAAACUGGAUGAGGCCAAACCGUAUGCGUGUGAGACCCGGCAGGGGUUGCGUAUACGGGGUUGUGGGAUCUCUCUUUCAUGGUCUGCCGGCCAUGAGACGAGUCAGAAACCGUUGAUGUAGGCGAAGGACAUGCGAAAGGUCCGGCGUAGAGGGUAAGACCCCCGUAGUCGAAACGUCAGCGGCUCGUUUGAGAGACACCCAAGUAGCACGGGGCCCGAGAAAUCCCGUGUGAAUCUGGCGGGACCACCCGCUAAGCCUAAAUAUUCCCUGGUGACCGAUAGCGGAUAGUACCGUGAGGGAAUGGUGAAAAGUACCCCGGGAGGGGAGUGAAAUAGUACCUGAAACCGUGUGCCUACAAGCCGUGGGAGCGUCGGAACAAGGCUUGCCUUGUUCUCGUGACUGCGUGCCUUUUGAAGAAUGAGCCUGCGAGUUUGCGGUGUGUUGCGAGGUUAACCCGUGUGGGGAAGCCGUAGCGAAAGCGAGUCCGAAUAGGGCGUUGGAGUAGCACGCUCAAGACCCGAAGCGGAGUGAUCUAGCCAUGGGCAGGUUGAAGCGGAGGUAAGACUUCGUGGAGGACCGAACCCACCAGGGUUGAAAACCUGGGGGAUGACCUGUGGUUAGGGGUGAAAGGCCAAUCAAACUCCGUGAUAGCUGGUUCUCCCCGAAAUGCAUUUAGGUGCAGCGUCGUGUGUUUCUUGCCGGAGGUAGAGCACUGGAUAGGCGAUGGGCCCUACCGGGUUACUGACCUUAGCCAAACUCCGAAUGCCGGUAAGUGAGAGCGCGGCAGUGAGACUGUGGGGGAUAAGCUCCAUGGUCGAGAGGGAAACAGCCCAGAGCAUCGACUAAGGCCCCUAAGCGUACGCUAAGUGGGAAAGGAUGUGGAGUCGCAGAGACAACCAGGAGGUUGGCUUAGAAGCAGCCACCCUUGAAAGAGUGCGUAAUAGCUCACUGGUCUAGUGAUUCCGCGCCGACAAUGUAGCGGGGCUCAAGCGUACCGCCGAAGUCGUGUCAUUGCGAUAUAUACCCCCAACGGGUGUAUGGAUGGGUAGGGGAGCGUCGUCUGCCGGGUGAAGCAGCCGUGUAAGCGAGUUGUGGACGGUUGACGAGUGAGAAUGCAGGCAUGAGUAGCGAUUCACACGUGAGAAACGUGUGCGCCGAUUGACUAAGGGUUCCUGGGUCAAGCUGAUCUGCCCAGGGUAAGUCGGGACCUAAGGCGAGGCCGACAGGCGUAGUCGAUGGAUAACCGGUUGAUAUUCCGGUACCCGCUGUGAAGCGUCAAACAUCGAGCAUCGUGAUACUAAGCCGUAAAGCCGCCGGUGAUCCCUUCGGGGAGUGAUCCGGAGUGGUGGAACCGCCGAACCAAGCAGUUAAUGGAGUGAGUGAUGGGGUGACGGAAGGUAAUCCAGCCCGGGCGGUGGUUGUCCGGGGUAAGGGUAUAGGACGUCAGGUAGGCAAAUCCGCCUGGCAAUAGUCUGAGACCUGAUGCCGAGCCGAUUGUGGUGAAGUGGAUGAUCCUAUGCUGUCGAGAAAAGCCUCUAGCGAGUUUCAUGGCGGCCCGUACCCUAAACCGACUCAGGUGGUCAGGUAGAGAAUACCGAGGCGUUCGGGUGAACUAUGGUUAAGGAACUCGGCAAAAUGCCCCCGUAACUUCGGGAGAAGGGGGGCCACAUCCGGUGACGGGCUUUGCGCCCUGAGCUGGGGGUGGCCGCAGAGACCAGCGAGAAGCGACUGUUUACUAAAAACACAGGUCCGUGCGAAGCCGUAAGGCGAUGUAUACGGACUGACGCCUGCCCGGUGCUGGAACGUUAAGGGGACCGGUUAGCUCAGAUUCGUCUGGGCGAAGCUGAGAACUUAAGCGCCAGUAAACGGCGGUGGUAACUAUAACCAUCCUAAGGUAGCGAAAUUCCUUGUCGGGUAAGUUCCGACCUGCACGAAUGGCGUAACGACUUCUCGACUGUCUCAACCAUAGGCCCGGUGAAAUUGCACUACGAGUAAAGAUGCUCGUUUCGCGCAGCAGGACGGAAAGACCCCGGGACCUUUACUACAGUUUGAUAUUGGUGUUCGGUUCGGCUUGUGUAGGAUAGCUGGGAGACUGUGAAGCGCUAACGCCAGUUAGUGUGGAGUCGUCGUUGAAAUACCAGUCUGGUCGUGCUGGAUGUCUAACCUGGGUCCGUGAUCCGGAUCAGGGACAGUGUCUGAUGGGUAGUUUAACUGGGGCGGUUGCCUCCUAAAGGGUAACGGAGGCGCCCAAAGGUUCCCUCAGCCUGGUUGGCAAUCAGGUGUUGAGUGUAAGUGCACAAGGGAGCUUGACUGUGAGACCGACGGGUCGAGCAGGGACGAAAGUCGGGACUAGUGAUCCGGCGGUGGCUUGUGGAAGCGCCGUCGCUCAACGGAUAAAAGGUACCCCGGGGAUAACAGGCUGAUCUUCCCCAAGAGUCCAUAUCGACGGGAUGGUUUGGCACCUCGAUGUCGGCUCGUCGCAUCCUGGGGCUGGAGUCGGUCCCAAGGGUUGGGCUGUUCGCCCAUUAAAGCGGUACGCGAGCUGGGUUUAGAACGUCGUGAGACAGUUCGGUCCCUAUCCGCUGUGCGCGUAGGAGUCUUGAGAAGGGCUGUCCCUAGUACGAGAGGACCGGGACGGACGAACCUCUGGUGUGCCAGUUGUUCUGCCAAGGGCAUGGCUGGUUGGCUACGUUCGGGAGGGAUAACCGCUGAAAGCAUCUAAGCGGGAAGCCUGCUUCGAGAUGAGGACUCCCACCUCCUGGAGAGGGUAAGGCUCCCAGUAGACGACUGGGUUGAUAGGCCGGAUAUGGAAGCACGGUAACGUGUGGAGUUGACCGGUACUAAUAGGCCGAGGGCUUGUCCUC
rnacentral:rRNA from 1 species